rnacentral:lncRNA from 1 species
UGUUUACUCUUGCAAGUGAUGUCCGCAUAGGACUCCUUCUGAUGACAAUCUACUCUCCAGAAGACCUGUAGGGGCCAAGCCUUGCCAAAUGAAGAACGUGGGCUGUCCUAACAAAAUACCACACAGAAGAUGGCUUAAGAUAACAGAAAUUUAUUCUCUCACAUUUCUGGAAACUAGAAGUCCAAAAUUAAGAUGUUGGCAGGGUUGUUUCCUUCCAUGAGGUCUGAGAGAGAAUGUGUUCCAGGCCCUUCUCCCAGCUUCUAUCAAUGGCUGACAACCGGCCAUUCUGUGGCUUAUAGAUGCACCCUUCUGACCUCUGCCACCAUCUUCACAUGGCAUUCUCCCUGUGUGUCUCUGUGUCUGGUAUCUUCCUAUAAGGGUACCAGUCCUUGGACUAGGGGUCCACCCUGUUCCAGUAUGACCUCUUCUGAGCUAACAACAUCUGCAAUGACCCUAUUUCCAAAUAAGAUCACCACGUUCUGAAGUAUUGGGAGUUAAGACUUCAACCUCUCUUCCCUGAGGGACACAAUUCAACCCAUAACAUGGAACGUUGUCAAAGCAAGCAUCUUAAAAUGACAGUGGAGCUCUAAUUGGCAGUGUAUGGUUAGAGCCAACUCUGACACCAUGGAAAUAGUGCACCAGUGCAAAAAUAAGAGACCCAUGCAAUAUACCUGAAGACAGAUGCGGGAUUCCUGGAAUCUGUUUUCUGUCUCACACCCUCAAAACCAACCAGCUACAAGUGAAACCUGCGCUGCUCCACGGAACUCAUGGAACCUUGUUCAAGGGGUACACCACAGCUGGCCACCCCCAAGGCUACGCACGCCGCACUGUCAUGAUGGAGCAGCAAGUGCUGGAGAUGACUGGGGACCCCAGCGGUCUAACCCUACUUUUCUCCACUCCAGGAAUUCCAGCUAAGGCUGCUUUCUGGAUAGAGAGACUGUCCUGGGCUCCAGCCUCCUUGGCCAACAGGCUGUCCAGAGCACUGACAGAUUAGAUUGUUCCCAUGAAACACCUCUGACAGCUCCUCAUGAUGCACUCAUGUAUGUUGUUUCUCCUGCCUCCGCCUGUGUUCUGCUUCUACUUCUCUGACUGUUCCCUGCCUCCCCCCCACCACCCCAGCUUACUUGGCUGGUUCCUGCUCUUCCAUCUACUUCCUAAGUGUUAACACUCCACAGGGGCCAGUGCUGACCUCAGUUCCUUUUGCAGGCUUUCUCUUUUACCCCUGUAGAUUGGGCAGUGAGCCCACUGCCACCCCAGUCUCCCUCUCAGCCAUUUACCCUGAACUUCAGACUACAUCUAACUCCCUCCUGGACAUGGAUGCUUCCCAGGUGCCUAGAGUUGAAAGUGUUCCUGCCUACCUCCUCCGGCUGAAUUCUUUGUCACCAAACCUGCUUUUCUGACUCAGUUAAUGGAUCUUCCAUUAACAAGUUAUCCAGCCAGAAAUUACCUUUGAUGAUUCCCUUUCCAUUACCCAAAGGAGUUUAUCAGGCAUCAUGUCCACAUUCCUUGGUGUGGUUUAUAUGGUCCCUGGUGAAUUGGUUGGUUGCCUUCCUCUCCAGCUGUAGCUCCACACCUUACCACACUUCCUGAGCCAAAUGGAAUUAUGUGUGGUUUUCUGUUUUUUUCACUUUCUUGGGCCUAUGCUCUUGCUCUUCCCUCUAUCUAUUUCCUAUACCUUCUACCUUUACAUACACUCUUUGAGGCACAACUCGAAUAUCCCUUCUUCCGUGUGCACAGAGAUGGCAUCAAUUCUGCAUAAGGGGUCAGGAAAAAGUUUACAAGUAAGUUUUUAAUGUUUAAAUGAUUUAAUGUUUUAAAUGUCUCAAGUGUUAUUAGUAAUUUAAAUUAUUAGUCAUUAGUAUAACUAUCAGACAUUUUGAUAUUAAAGUCUAGAGAAGUGGUCCUCAAAGUAGAGUAUCUGGGUCUGCAGCAUCAGCCUCCCCUGGACAGACCUACUGAGUCAGAAGCUCUGGAGGUGGGGCCCAGCAAUUUGUGUUUUAGCAAAUCCUCCAAGUGAUUCUGAUGCCUGCUAAGAUUUGAGGGCCAUUAGUCUAGAUCUGGCCUGAAGGGAAAAGGAAGAGGCCUGGUAAACUUGGUCUCUGUAGGUAGCUAAAUGGGGCUUCCCUUAACCAUAGCCUAAACUUCUCUCCUGUCCCUUCCUCAGGUUCAGCCACUAAUCUGACUGACUCACCCCAAUAUUCCAAGAUUGUUUGCUUAUCUAGUGAAAAAGACUAUAAAAUGCUCCCCAGAUGGGACAGAAAUUGUCUCAGUAUCAGAAAGUUGGUGUUUAUGGACCAGACUCUUCAUCUCUUUUUCUUUUUUCCAUCUCACUGCUAGAACUUUCCUGGUUUCAAAUGACUGGCCUUCUACUUGAUCAGUUGCUUUCCUGACUUCUCAUUCAAACUGGCCAGCACCAUAUGGCUACUUCCCAGAACGUAAAACACCAUGUCACCCAAACUGCCCAGGUUUCCCACCUCCAGACUAGCCAUGUGUGUCUGAUCCUCCCUCAUCCUACUUCCCUUCCUGUAAAGGACCUAGAGACAGAUUGUCUGGACAGAGCCUGGCUUCGUGCUUAUGUUCUAACUUGCUUUUUGAGCUUUGUCUUGCUUCUAAUCAUAAGGAAAGUAAAAUAAUUUAGUAAAAAGGAGUCAAGAACACAAGAAUAGAUUCCAGGAGGUAUGAGAGUUUAAUAUCUGACAGAGGAGAUAAUUGACUUCAGUGGGAAAGAUUUAACAUGAAACAUGAUGGUGCUGACCCAAUUAGCUACCUCCUGGACCAAAAUAUACUUGUAUCCCUAUCUCAAACAUUUGCAAAAAUGGGCUCUAGGGGCACCUGGGUGGCUCAGUUGCUUAAGCAUCUGCCUUCGGCUUAGGUUGUGAUCUCAGGGUCACGUGAUCUCCGCCAUCUCCCUCUUCUGCUCCCCCUACUUGUGCUCUCUCUCUUUCUGUCAAAUAAAUAAAUAAAAUCU